AGAGUUUGAUCCUGGCUCAGGACGAACGCUGGCGGCACGCUUAACACAUGCAAGUCGAACGAGAGAAGAGGAGCUUGCUUUUCUGAUCUAGUGGCGGACGGGUGAGUAACACGUGAGCAAUCUGCCUUUCAGAGGGGGAUACCGAUUGGAAACGAUCGUUAAUACCGCAUAACAUAAUUGAACCGCAUGAUUUGAUUAUCAAAGAUUUAUCGCUGAAAGAUGAGCUCGCGUCUGAUUAGCUAGUUGGUAAGGUAACGGCUUACCAAGGCGACGAUCAGUAGCCGGACUGAGAGGUUGAUCGGCCACAUUGGGACUGAGACACGGCCCAGACUCCUACGGGAGGCAGCAGUGGGGAAUAUUGCACAAUGGAGGAAACUCUGAUGCAGCGAUGCCGCGUGAGGGAAGAAGGUUUUAGGAUUGUAAACCUCUGUCUUCAGGGACGAAAAAAGACGGUACCUGAGGAGGAAGCUCCGGCUAACUACGUGCCAGCAGCCGCGGUAAUACGUAGGGAGCGAGCGUUGUCCGGAAUUACUGGGUGUAAAGGGAGCGUAGGCGGGAUCGCAAGUCAGAUGUGAAAACUAUGGGCUUAACCCAUAAACUGCAUUUGAAACUGUGGUUCUUGAGUGAAGUAGAGGUAAGCGGAAUUCCUAGUGUAGCGGUGAAAUGCGUAGAUAUUAGGAGGAACAUCAGUGGCGAAGGCGGCUUACUGGGCUUUAACUGACGCUGAGGCUCGAAAGCGUGGGGAGCAAACAGGAUUAGAUACCCUGGUAGUCCACGCCGUAAACGAUGAUUACUAGGUGUGGGGGGACUGACCCCUUCCGUGCCGCAGCAAACGCAAUAAGUAAUCCACCUGGGGAGUACGACCGCAAGGUUGAAACUCAAAGGAAUUGACGGGGGCCCGCACAAGCAGUGGAGUAUGUGGAUUAAUUCGAAGCAACGCGAAGAACCUUACCAGGUCUUGACAUCGUAUGCAUAGCUCAGAGAUGAGUGAAAUUUCUUCGGAGACAUAUAGACAGGUGGUGCAUGGUUGUCGUCAGCUCGUGUCGUGAGAUGUUGGGUUAAGUCCCGCAACGAGCGCAACCCUUACUGUUAGUUGCUACGCAAGAGCACUCUAGCAGGACUGCCGUUGACAAAACGGAGGAAGGUGGGGAUGACGUCAAAUCAUCAUGCCCCUUAUGACCUGGGCCUCACACGUACUACAAUGGCUGUCAACAGAGGGAAGCAAAGCCGCGAGGUGGAGCGAACCCCUAAAAGCAGUCUUAGUUCGGAUUGUAGGCUGCAACCCGCCUACAUGAAGUCGGAAUUGCUAGUAAUCGCAGAUCAGCAUGCUGCGGUGAAUACGUUCCCGGGCCUUGUACACACCGCCCGUCACGCCAUGGGAGUCGGUAACACCCGAAGCCUGUAGUCUAACCGCAAGGAGGACGCAGUCGAAGGUGGGAUUGAUGACUGGGGUGAAGUCGUAACAAGGUA
rnacentral:rRNA from 1 species